rnacentral:rRNA from 1 species
UACGGGGGGGGCAAGCGUUGUUCGGAAUUACUGGGCGUAAAGGGUGCGUAGGCGGCUUUUUAAGUUUGGUGUGAAAUCUCCCGGCUCAACUGGGAGGGUGCGCCGAAUACUGAGAGGCUAGAGUGCGGGAGAGGAAAGUGGAAUUCCUGGUGUAGCGGUGAAAUGCGUAGAUAUCAGGAGGAAUACCGGUGGUGUAAACGGCUUUCUGGACCGUAACUGACGCUGAUGCACGAAAGCGUGGGUAGCAAACAGG